GACAAUAAAUUACAUCAAUUUAAUAAUAUAAUACUUAUAUAUGAGAUAAUCAAUUUAAAACUGUUAGCGGUGAUAAUGCUCUAUAGAAAUAUGAUUUCAAAAAUAAAAUUUUAAUAUACUAUUUUAUGUGCUUUAGAAAAAUGAAAAAAAUAGAAAAAAGGUUUGAACAGUGAACUUUAAUUAUAUUGUACAAAAUUAUAAAAGUAAGAUUAUUCUUAGAGAUUCACUAAUUAAGAUAUCUCAAGUUAUUUAACGAAUGAUGACUAAAAGAAAG
rnacentral:lncRNA from 1 species